GAUCUUCUUAGAUUUCUUUCUUC
rnacentral:piRNA from 1 species